CUGGGCUUCAUCAGUAGUUAAAGCUCAUGUGUGAUAUUACAGAACGGCUACUACUAUGCCGUAAGAUCCACUGUCCUGUAAUAUCACAUAUGAGCUGUAACUACUGAUGAAGCCCACG